rnacentral:lncRNA from 1 species
CCUGGCCUCGCUCAGUGGGUUAAGGAUCCAGAAUUACCAUGGGCUGUGGUGUGGGUCUUAGAUGUGGCUUGGAUCCUGGGUUGCUAUGGCUAUGGUGCAGGCCCACAGCUGCAGUUCCCCUUCGACCCCUAGCCUGGGAACUUCUGUGUUCCCUGGGUAUGGCCCUAAAAAGCAAAAAAAAAAAAAAAAAAAAAAAAAAAAAAAAAAGCUUACUACAAACUUCCUUGUGCAAUUGCCUUUGGUUUUCUAGGUUUGAUUGGAAUUUGAGACUGAGGCUGGCUAGGGCUCUGGACUUUGGAGUUUUGGGAUUGAAUCCUGGUUCUGCUCUCUACUGGUAUGUGGGGAAGGGAUUUGCACUCUCUGGGAGGGCUUGACUUUUCUUAUCUGGCAAAUGGAGAUUUAAUAUAUCCAUUUCUUUAAAAAGUUACUAUGCAGGAACAGGUGGGGGAUAAUGCUUUCUUUUAAAAAACAAACAAACAAACAUGAAAAUCCAACAAAAACCCUUGACAAAAGACCCUGAUAAGAAUAUAAAAAGGCAGCCAAAGAUUGGGAGAAAAUAUCCCAACACAUAAAAUGUGUAAUCAGAAUAUACAUAGAAUUCUCUGAACUCAAUAAAAAGAAGACAAAUAGCCCAAUUAAAAGAAUGAGCCAAAGAUUUGGACUCUUCUCCAAAGGAGUUAUGCAAACAGUCAAUAAGCCCAUGAAAAGAUACUCAACAUGAUUAAUCAUCAGAGAAUUGCAAAUUAAAACCACACUGAAAUACCACUAUACACUCAUCAGCAUGGGGAGAAUCAAAAAGACUAACAGGGGAGUUCCCGUCGUGGCGCAGUGGUUAACGAAUCCGACUAGGAACCAUGAGGUUGAGGGUUCUGUCCCCGCCCUUGCUCAUGAGUUAAGGAUCCAGCGUUGCCGUGAGCUGUGGUGUAGGUCACAGACGUGGCUCAGAUCCCGUGUUGCUGUGGCUGUGGCGUAGGGCUUCAGCUACAGCUCCGAUUCGACCCCUAGCCUGGGAACUUCCAUAUGCCACGGGAGCAGCCCAAGAAAUGGCAAAAAGACAAAAAAAAUAAAUAAAUUAAAAAAAAAAAAAAAAGAGAGAGAGAGAGAAAAGCAGACCAAUUACAAUCCAACUCAAUCUGGAUGGAUGCCCAGGAAAUUCUCUCUCCUAAACUAACCCAUGGGCAAAGUCAAUUCUAUUUU